rnacentral:rRNA from 1 species
UUGUUCGGAAUUACUGGGCGUAAAGCGCGUGUAGGCGGCUCUUCAAGUCAGGCGUGAAAGCCCCGGGCUCAACCCGGGAACUGCGCUUGAUACUGUCGAGCUAGAGUGUGGAAGGGGCGAUUGGAAUUCCGUGUGUAGCGGUGAAAUGCGUAGAUAUACGGAGGAACACCAGAGGCGAAGGCGGAUCGCUGGGCCAACACUGACGCUGAGACGCGAAAGCUAGGGUAGCAAACGGG